ACGAACGCUGGCGGCGUGCUUAACACAUGAAGUCGAACGGAAAGGCCCUGCUUUUGUGGGGUGCUCGAGUGGCGAACGGGUGAGUAACACGUGAGUAACCUGCCCUUGACUUUGGGAUAACUUCAGGAAACUGGGGCUAAUACCGGAUAGGAGCUCCUGCUGCAUGGUGGGGGUUGGAAAGUUUCGGCGGUUGGGGAUGGACUCGCGGCUUAUCAGCUUGUUGGUGGGGUAGUGGCUUACCAAGGCUUUGACGGGUAGCCGGCCUGAGAGGGUGACCGGCCACAUUGGGACUGAGAUACGGCCCAGACUCCUACGGGAGGCAGCAGUGGGGAAUAUUGCACAAUGGGCGGAAGCCUGAUGCAGCAACGCCGCGUGCGGGAUGACGGCCUUCGGGUUGUAAACCGCUUUCGCCUGUGACGAAGCGUGAGUGACGGUAAUGGGUAAAGAAGCACCGGCUAACUACGUG
rnacentral:rRNA from 1 species